GUGGAGAACGUAGGUCCAGUUAAGUUAUUUCCGUUUCAGCCGUGACCCCCACGCCAUCCAUAACUUGCGAUACAUUGUGGCACUUGGCACACUAGCUGGUGCUGCACCAAGGUGAGCGCUGACAGAGCACCGUGACCCAAAUACGCAAAGACAUCCCAUAUUUUUGCUCUUAGGCCAUCGAACCCUUUUCCGUGAUUAACUGCUGUUGCAUAAACACGUCUUAGCAGAGCCCUUUGAAAUCUGGGUCAGAGUUGCGGCGGCGGUGUAAAUUGCAAGACGAGGUAUCGGUGGAUAUCACUUAGUGCCUGCCAGCAUUGUUCAGCGACAGGAAGCGUUUACAAGGCCUAUGUCUAGGUAGUAUUUACUUGAGAUUUGGGAAGAAGCCUAAGAAUAUCCCAGUGAAUCUUCGUGUGGCAUCUUCUGUUGCUUGCACACAAAAGGCACUGCUGGUUAUGGGAACAAGACUGUAGGUGCUGCCCAUCUUACAGAAGUUGUCAGACUGGUUCUCCUGGAAACUAGGGACACAAUGUAACUGCUCUGGUAGAUAGGCUGUGGCUUUAUUCUUUUUGGUUUUCAAAAUUGCAAACCUAGUAAUUUCUUCGCAGAUGACAGCUUUAUCCCAAACAACUGGAUUUAAAAUGUGUUUCCUAAGCUCCUCUAUGUAAAGAUUUUGCUGCUAUAUAUUUGUGGAAACCAUAAUCAGAUAAGCUGUAUGGAAAUGGUAAAUGCUCUACAGUAACAAAUUUCAAACUGUUUGAUGAAGCAAAUCUAGGAUAACUCGGUGUUUUAGGGAAAACAGGUCUUCAGGACUAAAGUCAGGUCUGUAAGGAAAGGAAGGCCUUUACCUCCCUUUGCAGCACCCUGGGGGAUCCCCACGUGAACUUGUGACUUGUUAACUGCAUCAUUUAAUCGCUACUUCAGUUACUACUUUCUACUCUGUAUUUGCCUUUUCUCUUGUAAGGAGGCCUCCUUCACCUGCAACAAUGUAGCCAAGAAUUCUGUAGACUAGAUUUGGACAGGUAUUGUGAAACAGUUUCCUCUGAGAUUGAAACAUUCCAUCCUUCAAGGAAACUCCUUAAUUAGUAAAGUAAACAGCUUGAAAUAGCUUCAGGAAGUCCCUGAAACUCACCAGAUUCCCAAGUCCCCUCCCUGCCAGAGUUCGCAAUAGGAACAGAGUUGCAAAGAAGAUUCUCACAUAAGCCAAGCUGCAAAACAGACAACCCUAGCCCAGCUGCCUGGGCUACAACAAAGCAGUAGGACUGACUAGAAGACAAAUAGUAAUGCCAACCGAGGAACUAAACACUCUCCAACAUGUUAACUUGCUUUGGUCUAUGUAGUGAGCUUUAGGUCCCCAGCUUUGUGAGCUGUCACCGGGCUGGAGUGGGUGGUGAUGUGGCUGUCUUCAAGUCAUUUCUGCUGCUAUAAGUAACACCUCACACACAUUCCUAUAAGUAACCCCAAUAAAACUCAUUGGCUUGCCAAAUUGGA